CUUAUAUUCUGUAGCAAGGUUAACCGUAUAGGGGAGCCGAAGGGAAACCGAGUCUUAACUGGGCGUUAAGUUGCAGGGUAUAGAGCCGAAACCCGGUGAUCUAGCCAUGGGCAGGUUGAAGGUUGGGUAACACUAACUGGAGGACCGAACCGACUAAUGUUGAAAAAUUAGCGGAUGACUUGUGGCUGGGGGUGAAAGGCCAAUCAAACCGGGAGAUAGCUGGUUCUCCCCGAAAGCUAUUUAGGUAGCGCCUCGUGAACUCAUCUUCGGGGGUAGAGCACUGUUUCGGCUAGGGGGUCAUCCCGACUUACCAACCCGAUGCAAACUGCGAAUACCGAAGAAUGUUAUCACGGGAGACACACGGCGGGUGCUAACGUCCGUCGUGAAGAGGGAAACAACCCAGACCGCCAGCUAAGGUCCCAAAGUCACAGUUAAGUGGGAAACGAUGUGGGAAGGCUCAGACAGCCAGGAUGUUGGCUUAGAAGCAGCCAUCAUUUAAAGAAAGCGUAAUAGCUCACUGGUCGAGUCGGCCUGCGCGGAAGAUGUAACGGGGCUAAACUGUGCACCGAAGCUGCGGCAGCGACGCUUAUGCGUUGUUGGGUAGGGGAGCGUUCUGUAAGCCUGCGAAGGUGUCCUGUGAGGGAUGCUGGAGGUAUCAGAAGUGCGAAUGCUGACAUAAGUAACGAUAA
rnacentral:rRNA from 1 species